rnacentral:rRNA from 1 species
AUGAAAGGCAUUUUUUGGAACAGCAGAGGUCUUAAAGACUUGGCUAAAAGACGUUUUCUAGCAGAAGCUUCUAUUGAACAUCACUUAGACUUUAUUGCUUUGUCCGAAACUGGACGAGGUAAUUUUUCAGCACAGUUUCUUAGCACCUUAGCAGGGGGGGUAGACUUUGAUUGGCAUUGUCUCCCACCUCGAGGAAGAUCCGGUGGGGUUCUACUCGGGGUUAAGUGCGAUACGUUGGAGGUUCGGAGUGUAGUGAUGGGUGAAUUUGCGGUUAAGUUUAGGGUAAGAACGAAAGCUGAUGGUUUUGAUUGGGCUUUGGUGGCAGUCUAUGGGGCUGCGCAACCCGAACUUAAGGAAGAAAAGAAUAAUGACAACUUUGACGGCAGAUGGUCCUUUAUGUUCAAUACUAUCAUAGAGAGCUUGGACCUCAGAGAGAUAGAGCUUUCGGGUAGGAAAUUCACUUGGGCAAACUCAUUACCGGUUCCGACGUUUGAGAAGUUGGACCGUGUUCUGGCAAGUGUUGAGUGGGAACAGAAGUUUCCUCUGGUAACGGUGCAGGCGUUGACACGAGGUAUCUCGGAUCACACACCGCUAUUAGUGGACUCAGGGUCCCCAACUCAUUUGGGUAAUAAGAAUAUUUUCUCUUUCGAGCUUGCUUGGUUUGAAAGAGAAGGAUUUAUCGAUCUGUUGGCUAGAGAGUGGGCUAAAGACUCGGGGGGAAGGUCACCCAUGGAGCGGUGGCAAUGCAAGAUUCGUCAUCUGCGAAGGUUCCUUCGUGGAUGGGCUAAGCAUACGAACGGAAUUUAUAAGGCGGAGAAGGAAAGGCUCCUUAUGAUGAUUCACACCCUAGAGUUAAAAGCUGAAACCUCUCUUUUAGAUACCAGAGAGUUGGAGUCUAAAUUGGAGGCCGAGCUAAGGCUGAAAGAGCUUCUCCGUGAGGAGGAAUUGAAGUGGGCUCUCAGAGCUAAGGUUCGCAAGGUUGUCCAAGGUGAGGAUAAUACCCAAUUCUUUCAUAUGAUUGCUAACGGAAAGCAUCGUAAGAAGAGAAUUUUUCAAUUAGAACAAGAUGAAGGAACGAUAGUUGGUCAGGAAAACCUGAAAGUUUACAUUACCAACUACUAUAAGCAGUUAUUUGGACCUCCGGGACGGAGUUUUGUGUCUUUGGAUGAGUCAAGAGUUGAGGAUGUUCCCCAACUUCAGACGGAAGAGAAUGAGAUUUUGACUGCCCCUUUCACGGAGAAGGAGGUGUAUGAGGCCAUUGCACAAAUGAAUAAUAAUAAAGCGCCAGGACCAGAUGGGUUUCCGGCGGAGUUCUACAAAAAGUGCUGGCAUUUCAUUAAACAUGACCUGUUGCUCAUGUUUCAUGAAUUGUUUAAUGGUCAGCUUCAUUUAUUCAAGCUUAAUUUUGGAACAAUAACUCUUCUUCCUAAGAAGACAGAGGCUAUUCGCAUUGAGCAGUUCAGACCCAUUUGUUUGCUUAAUGUAAGUUUCAAAAUUUUCACUAAGGUUGGGACGAACCGACUCACGCAGAUAGCGCAUACGGUGGUGCAACCGUCCCAGACUGCUUUCAUGCCGGAUAGAAAUAUCCUUGAAGGGGUGGUCGUCUUGCAUGAAACGCUCCACGAAAUUCACUCAAAAAAACUUGAUGGGGUGGUUUUUAAAGUGGAUUUCGAAAAAGCAUACGAUAAAGUCAAAUGGCCUUUCCUUCAUCAGGCGUUGCGUAUGAAAGGAUUCGACAAGGCAUGGCGCGACCAAAUUGAUUCCUUUACGCAAAAAGGGAGUGUAGGGAUUAAAGUGAAUGACGAUAUAGGUCACUAUUUCCAGACACAUAAAGGCCUAAGACAGGGGGAUCCAAUGUCACCGAUCUUAUUUAACAUAGUAGCUGAUAUGCUAUCUAUUUUAAUAGGCCGGGCCAAGGAGGCGGGGCAGGUUUCGGGCUUGGUUCCGCACCUAGUUGAUGGAGGUAUAUCCAUUUUGCAGUAUGCUGAUGAUACGAUCAUCUUUAUGGAGCAUGACUUGGUGAAAGCUAGGAAUAUGAAGCUUGUGCUGUGCUUAUUUGAACAAUUGUCUGGACUCAAGAUUAACUUCCACAAGAGCGAAUUGUUUUGCUUUGGAAGAGCUACUGAGGACCAGGUUGCGUAUAAGCAAUUGUUCGGAUGCGAGUUGGGUUCACUACCGUUUACUUACUUGGGCAUUCCCAUUCAUCAUCGUAAGCUUACGAACAAGGAGUGGAAGUGUAUUGAGGAUCGUUUUGAAAAGAAACUAAGCUGUUGGAAAGGGAAGCUCAUGUCAUAUGGAGGUCGAUUAAUUUUGAUUAAUUCGGUUCUCACAAGUAUGCCUAUGUUUCUUCUAUCCUUCUUUGAGAUCCCGGUGGGGGUUAGGAAGAGAUUAGACUUUUAUCGAUCCCGGUUUUUUUGGCAAAACGAUGAGUUGAAACGUAAGUAUAGGCUUGCCAAAUGGGACAUCAUCUGUAGGCCCAAGGACCAAGGCGGUCUAGGCAUUGAAAAUCUAGAGAUCAAGAAUAGAUGUCUCCUUAGCAAGUGGCUUUUUAAACUUUCAUCCGAGACAGAGGCUACUUGGGCACAAAUUCUGCGUAAUAAGUAUCUUCAGUCAAAAACUUUAGCUCAGGUGACGGUGCACCCAACUGAUUCACCGUUUUGGAAAGGGUUGAUGAGAGUCAAGCCCCUCUUCUUUAACAGGAUAAAAAUCUUAGUUGGUGAUGGAGCUACUACGAGGUUCUGGGAGGAUACGUGGCUAGGAGAAACACCUCUGGCACGUCAAUAUCCCACACUGUAUAACAUUGUUCAACGUCGAGAAGUAUACGUUGCAAAUGUCUUACAGUCAACGCCUCUCAAUAUUAGCUUCCGGAGGACACUAGUGGGUGAACGAUGGGAGGCAUGGCUUCAUCUUGUACGACGGCUGAUGGAUGUCCAACUGUCUCAGGAUCCAGAUAGGUUGUUUUGGAAAUUGACAAAGGACGGUAGGUUCUCGGUUAAAUCCAUGUAUCUGGAUGUCAUUAAUACUAGUGUCAUUCCUUGCUCCAGACAUGUCUGGAAAGUUAAGGUACCUUUGCGAAUUAAAGUGUUUAUGUGGUUUGUGCAUAAAAAAGUAAUUUUGACAAAGGAUAAUCUGGCAAAACGCAAUUGGGUGGGUUCUGCUAGAUGUAGUUUCUGCGAUUGUAAUGAAACUAUCAGACACCUCUUUCUGGAUUGUCCACUGGCUAAGCUUCUUUGGCGUUCGAUUCAUAUUGCCUUCAAUAUUAUUCCACCUACUUCUAUCAAUAUGUUGUUUGGAACAUGGCUUGAUGGGGUAGACUUGGUUUUAGCAAGACUCAUUCGUGUUGGCGCGUGUGCCUUGUUAUGGGCAGUAUGGAACUGCAGAAAUGAUUUGGUUUUUAACAGAGCAACGAACUUUCAUUUUUUGCAGGUUAUCUUCAGGGCCACAGCGUUGAUCCGUAUGUGGUCGCCACUCACUCCGAUGGAGGACAGGGGGCAUUUGGCUACUGCUUCUACCCGAUGGGAGAUGGUAGCUCGGGUUAUUUUCAACCGGUUUGGAUGGCGGUCAUGUAAUAGGAUAGGCAUGUAG